rnacentral:rRNA from 1 species
GUUUAGGGGUAAACCUGAGAAACCCGAAAAGUCGAAUGGGGAAAUUCAUUCGUGUAUCGGCUGGACAGAAUUGAAUAGAUGUCUAAGAGACGCAUAGUGUUCUUCAUCGAACACAUAGCGCUCCUUCUAUUUGAUAUAAUACUGUUGUCGAACGCGUGCACUUUUCCCCUAGUAGGACAUCGUGAUCCGUUAGGCGUUGGUCUAAGGCAUAUGCGGUGGAGCUUGUAAAUUCAAUAUUUUUACAAUAUUGAGACUUUUGCAAACCCGUAAUGUUCUGGCCAACAAGCUUGACGGUAUAUGAAAGGCGCGAGGCCGCUAUUUAUUAGCGUCUGGCCCGUAGCAAGCGCGCCCGAUGUAUGUUGGUGACCGGCCCUGGUGCCGUUCCCGACCUCGUGGUGACUGUUGGCUGCGGUGUUCUCAGACAGACCUCGUUUAGUAGCAUUUUAUGUUGCUAACGCCGAUCUACGAUGCUAUUAGCUUUGGGUACUUUCAGGACCCGUCUUGAAACACGGACCAAGGAGUCUAGCAUGUGCGCAAGUCAUUGGGAAAUAACUAAACCUAAAGGCGCAAUGAAAGUAAAAGUUCGUCUUGUGCGAGCUAAGGGAGGAUGAGUGGUUUUACAUUUUUAAUGGCCAUUCCGCACUCCCGGGGCGUCUCGUUCUCAUUGCGAGAUGAGGCGCACCAAGAGCGUACACGCUGGGACCCGAAAGAUGGUGAACUAUGCCUGGUCAGGACGAAGUCAGGGGAAACCCUGAUGGAGGUCCGUAGCGAUUCUGACGUGCAAAUCGAUCGUCUGAACUGGGUAUAGGGGCGAAAGACUAAUCGAACCAUC